rnacentral:rRNA from 1 species
GCGUAACGGCGGGCCAGAUGCGGGGGGAAGUCGGGGGGGGGGGCGUGUGUUCUGAAUUACUGGGCGUAAGGCGGCUGCGGGCGGCCUCGUAAGUAUGGGGUGAAAGCCCGGGGCUUACCCGCGGAAGUGCACUGGGAACGGGGUGGCUAGGGUACCGGAGAGGAGGGGGGAAUUCCUGGUGUAGCGGUGAAAUGCGUAGAUAUCAGGAGGAACACCGGUGGCGAAGGCGGCCCUCUGGACGGAUACUGACGCUGAGACGCGAAAGCGUGGGGAGCAAACAGGAUUAGAUACCCAGUAGUC